GACGAACGCUGGCGGCGUGCUUAACACAUGCAAGUCGAGCGGUAAGGCCUCUUCGGGGGUACACGAGCGGCGAACGGGUGAGUAACACGUGGGUGACCUGCCCUCAGCUCUGGGAUAAGCCUGGGAAACUGGGUCUAAUACCGGAUAUGACCUUUCCUCGCAUGGGGUUUGGUGGAAAGUUUUUUCGGCUGGGGAUGGGCCCGCGGCCUAUCAGCUUGUUGGUGGGGUGAUGGCCUACCAAGGCGACGACGGGUAGCCGGCCUGAGAGGGCGACCGGCCACACUGGGACUGAGACACGGCCCAGACUCCUACGGGAGGCAGCAGUGGGGAAUAUUGCGCAAUGGGCGGAAGCCUGACGCAGCGACGCCGCGUGGGGGAUGACGGCCCUCGGGUUGUAAACCUCUUUCGACCCCGACGAAUUUGGACGGUAGGGGUAGAAGAAGCACCGGCCAACUACGUG
rnacentral:rRNA from 1 species